AUUUAAGUUUUCCGGAGGAAAAAUGUCGUCAGCCACGGUUCCGUACCUUUCGUCAUCGAGGAGGAGCUUAAUCCCAACGGAGCACUGAAACUACUGAAACGAUUAGGACACCCACACGGCCACGGCCACACCGUAAGUGUACUUUUGGCAGUCGGCCGACUUCUGGCCUACCUGGUGAACAUUCUGUGCGGACGUCUUCUAACGGGAUUGCGCUGGUGGAACUGUAAACGAUUACGGCCAGGUGCAUUAGGUGUUUGAAUUGAAGAACGGCGAUGCCGGGUACGAAUCGAAGGACAACCCACACAAGGCGUACAUUUUCUUCCGAGCUGGUAGUUCGUCGGUAUUGGCAAUAUCUUCCGUUGUAUGGGGGCUGUUCCUGGUGGUGACACCGACAAUGUUCCAGUUCCAUUUGACCAUGGAUGCUGCUGGUCAUCAUUGCCUACGGAACUAAUCCAGAUAUAUUAAAUGCAAUUUGGAACCCAAUGCCAAUCUCAAAGUUACGAUUACCGAUUUCGCCCGCUGAAGAAUACCGUCAAUCUUAUUAGCCGCUAAGGAGCAGCUCGACACUGCGUAGUAACGUUUUUGAUCUCUAUGUGCAAUAUUUGUUACACAAUAGUCCUGUUCAAUGAAGUAGGUUGAACAUUGUUGAAGUUGUUGAAUCCUCUUACCAAUUUGUCAACAAAAUGUAAUGAGUGAGAGCAGGAUGCAGCAACUUCAACAAUGUUCAACCUACUUCAUUGAACAGGACUAAUGUGUUACCGAUGUGUGGAAACUAGUCAGGUCCGAAGAAGGUGGUCAUUCACGAAUGAAUCAAUGUAUAGCACUAGCCACUAGUAUAGCCAGUACGGGUAAAAGCAGGUAGUCCGAGAGAUGUCGGAAUAGUUACGGAAUAAAGCUGUAUUUAGCAAGAA